AGUGAACGCUGGCGGUAGGCCUAACACAUGCAAGUCGAACGGCAGCACAGUAAGAGCUUGCUCUUACGGGUGGCGGGUGGCGGACGGGUGAGGAAUACAUCGGAAUCUACUUUUUCGUGGGGGAUAACGUAGGGAAACUUACGCUAAUACCGCAUACGACCUACGGGUGAAAGCAGGGGAUCUUCGGACCUUGCGCGAUUGAAUGAGCCGAUGUCGGAUUAGCUAGUUGGCGGGGUAAAGGCCCACCAAGGGGACGAUCCGUAGCUGGUCUGAGAGGAUGAUCAGCCACACUGGAACUGAGACACGGUCCAGACUCCUACGGGAGGCAGCAGUGGGGAAUAUUGGACAAUGGGCGCAAGCCUGAUCCAGCCAUACCGCGUGGGUGAAGAAGGCCUUCGGGUUGUAAAGCCCUUUUGUUGGGAAAGAAAAGCAGCAGGUUAAUACCCCGCUGUUCUGACGGUACCCAAAGAAUAAGCACCGGCUAACUUCGUG
rnacentral:rRNA from 1 species